UAAUUAUAGUAGAACAAGUUGGGAAGCUUGACGAUAGAUGGUGAUAGUCCCGUAUACGAAAGAAUCACAGUGGAACUAAGCAUACGAACAAGUAGGACGGGGCACGUGGAACAUUGUCUGAAUAUGGGGGGACCAUCCUCCAAGGCUAAAUACUCCUGAAUGACCGAUAGUGAACUAGUACCGAGAGGGAAAGGUGAAAAGAACCCUUAUAAAGGGAGUGAAAAAGAAUCUGAAACCGCUUGCAUACAAGCAGUAGGA
rnacentral:rRNA from 1 species